UACGGAAGGCAGCAGUGGGGAAUAUUGCACAAUGGGCGCAAGCCUGAUGCAGCCAUGCCGCGUGUAUGAAAAAGGCCUUCGGGUUGUAAAGUACUUUCAGUCGUGAGGAAGGUGUUAAGGUUAAUAACCUUAGCAAUUGACGUUAGCGACAGAAGAAGCACCGGCUAACUCCGUGCCAGCAGCCGCGGUAAUACGGAGGGUGCGAGCGUUAAUCGGAAUUACUGGGCGUAAAGGGCACGCAGGCGGUUAAUUAAGUUGGAUGUGAAAUCCCCGGGCUUAACCUGGGAAUGGCAUUUUAAGACUGGUUAGCUAGAGUCUUGUAGAGGGGGUAGAAUUCCAUGUGUAGCGGUGAAAUGCGUAGAGAUGUGGAGGAAUACCGGUGGCGAAGGCGGCCCCUGGACAAAGACUGACGCUCAUGUGCGAAAGCGUGGGGAGCAAACAGGGAUUAGAUACC
rnacentral:rRNA from 1 species